AAGCCAUUCUGUUCAUCUUGAUUGCGCAACUGAGAUUCUUUCACACCAUCUACAAAAAAAAAAUCAGAAGAUGACAUUGACUAAGUGCAAGGGAAGGGACAGGGAAAAGGAGGGGCAAUGGUCUUACUGCAGCUAUUUUAAGAAAAGGGAGAUGGAGCAGUCAGAACUUGCUUGCUAAGAGGACAAAAAAAUUGCUCUUGGUCCACCAGAAAUCUUUCCUGAUUAUUCUGUAUCCUUGGUUUCUGAUUGCCAUUUUUACUUGAAUUGUAAGUAAUUCAAGUUUUAGUUUUAAUUGUUGAUU